rnacentral:tRNA from 1 species
UGGCCCGUGGCUCAGUUGGUUGGAGCAUCUUCCCAUACAGCAAAAGGUUGUGGGUUCAAUUCCCAUCAGGGCAC